UCUUCUUUCUCUCUUUUUUGAUUGCCUCAUUCUCCGAAGGCCGCCUGCGUCUGUGGAACGCGAAAUGACAGUUGAGCGCGCAGUGCGGCAGCAAAGCAGCUAGGCAGCCUCGGACCUCGCUCUUGUCAAAGAACUCUCGUAGGAGCUCCACAGGCGUCGUGUAUGUGUGUGUGGCACUGUUUUCCUCCCGCGGGGAGGGAGCAUCGACUUGGUUCUCUGCAGUAAGAAGGUGACGGAACUCUCGGAGUCGCCUUCUCGGACCGAAGACGCCUCACCACAGUGGCGAAAGGCCGCUGCACAGUGUUCACAUGCAUGCGUCCACGCAACGCCACAGAAGCAAAGCUGAAAGGGAGAGAAGAGUUGAAAGAGGUAGAGAGAACAAGAGUGGAAAAGGAGAGAGAGAAAGGCGAAGAGCGGCGUCCUUGUGUGCCAAGCAGGACGGCCACGCUAUUGAGACAGACAGAGCGCGCUCCUCUCGAGGAAGAACAGGGCACCUCUUUCGGUGCGCGUUUCCGGCGCUUUCUCUCUUCUUUUCUCGGGAAAUCCUCUCCCUACGGAAGGCCAGGCUGACUCCCGCCUGUGUGUGGACGCGUCCAAAACUGAGUGCUGUUACUCGGUGUCUUUUUCGCAAACUUGUCGACGCAGGCGCUGCGCCGUCGUGCUGGAGGAAAAGUGGGUUCUCGUCUUCGUAGUAUCUCCAGGAAAAUCUGUUCUUCGAUGUGCGUCGGAAGCCUCCCUUUUCCCUAAAGGUCUCUAAAGUCUCUAAGAUUCUCUGCAUGACAUUUUCUCUUGCAGCCCCCCCCCAACUGGGUGGAAAGGGU
rnacentral:lncRNA from 1 species